AGACCCUGGCUGGGGCGCUCGCUGCGCGCAGGGCGCCGCGCCGGGCACUUUGGAGCGCUCUCUCCCGGGGUGCCCCCCACCGGCCCUCCGAUGCCCCAUUUCAGAGACUGGAACGACGAGGCCGGCCCCGCAUCGCCCGCUCCGCUGUGUCACCCGCCCCGGGGCAGCGGAGGCUCAGCGCCCGACCCUCCAGGAAGCAGGGGGUAGCUGGCGGCCGCAGGGGGCGGCGGCUUGGGGCCGGCGCCGGCCGGGGCAGCUGGUACCUGGGCUCCGGCAGGACGAUCCUCUUGCUGGCGCGGGCGGCCGGGGUCGCCUUGCUCUUCUCCAUGGCCAUCAGCAGGUAAUGAUGAAACUCCUGCUCUGGUCCGGGCUACCGGUGAACAGCGCCCAGCGGGCCGGGCCCCCAACCUCGCUCCUGAGCCUGAACAUCCCCCCAACCCCACCGUGAGAAUUCAGCGAAGAGUAAAAGCUGGAAAAAGUUGCGUGUCUUAGGCUAAGCAGAACAAAGUGGGGUGACGGCUCCCCGGCUAGGAACAGAGAUGCCCUUAGGGAGCCCUCUGAUGGAAGAGCUCUCCGCUUAAGAAGGUCACCACUCCCUUACACUCAGCCCCCCUCAAUCUGAUUCCCUGCUAUGCCUGCCAUCACCACUGGCCAGUUUUACCACAUGCUUCUCAAGACCCAAGGCACAAUAGGCAUAAAGUUGUCCUGAAAAGGACAAGAGGAGUGUCAGAAGUAGGAAUGGCAGUUGAAGGAGCUUCGUCUGCCAGCAGAAAGCUGAAAUGACAGGCAAGCACAAAAUAUAUUAAGGAGACAAAGCUAUGCAUGAGCGAAAUAUCAAACUUUCAUCUUCUACCCACUUUUUUUUUUUUUUUUUGCUUAAAAACAGGAAGACAGAAUGUCUUGUCAAGGGUCACCCCAGGAGGAGGAGUAAAUUCCCCAAAAAGCGGAACAUAUUUUUAUGAUUUAAUUAAUACAAUUUCUCUCAAUG
rnacentral:lncRNA from 1 species